AACUCUUAGGGGUGGACCGAUUGGCUCAUGCAUUGAUAAAGAAUGCAGGUAGCUGGGAGAACUAAUGUGAACUGCAAGCUACACUGGUCGUCGACACUUAAAAUGAUGAUCAAUUCUGAUUUUGUAAGUCACAUUGGUG
rnacentral:rRNA from 1 species